rnacentral:rRNA from 1 species
UACGGGGGGAGCAAGCGUUGUUCGGAUUUACUGGGCGUAAAGGCGCGUAGGCGGCCAGCACAAGUCAGUUGUGAAAUCUCCGAGCUUAACUCGGAAAGGUCAACUGAUACUGUGCGGCUAGAGUGCGGAAGGGGCAACUGGAAUUCUUGGUGUAGCGGUGAAAUGCGUAGAUAUCAAGAGGAACACCUGCGGCGAAGGCGGGUAGCUGGGCCGACACUGACGCUGAGGCGCGAAAGCCAGGGGAGCGAACGGG